rnacentral:rRNA from 1 species
UACGGAGGGGGCUAGCGUUGUUCGGAAUCACUGGGCGUAAAGGGCGCGUAGGUGGCUCGUUAAGCGUGUGGUGAAAGCCUGGGGCUCAACCCCAGGUCUGCCGUGCGAACUGGCGAGCUUGAGCAGAGUAGAGGCGGGUGGAAUUUCGGGUGUAGCGGUGGAAUGCGUAGAUAUCCGAAAGAACACCGGUGGCGAAGGCGGCCCGCUGGGCUCUUGCUGACACUGAUGCGCGACAGCGUGGGGAGCAAACAGG